NNNCGAUACAGAGAAGAUUAGCAUGGCCCUUGCGCAAGGAUGACACGCAAAUUUGUGAAGCGUUCCAUAUUUUU
rnacentral:snRNA from 1 species